rnacentral:rRNA from 1 species
GAUGAACGCUAGCGGCAGGCCUAAUACAUGCAAGACGAACGGUAAGUUGAGUAGCAAUACUUAGCCAAGAGUGUCGUACGGGUGCGUAACACGUAUGCAACCUACCCUAUACAGGAGGAUAGCCUAGGGAAACCUGGAUUAACCCUUCAUAGUAUUAUUGGAUGGCAUCAUUUGAUAAUUAAAACUGAGGUGGUAUAGGAUGGGCAUGCGUCUGAUUAGUUAGUUGGCGGGGUAAUGGCCCACCAAGACGAUGAUCAGUAGGGGUUCUGAGAGGAAGAUCCCCCCACACUGGCACUGAGAUACGGGCCAGACUCCUACGGGAGGCAGCAGUAGGGAAUAUUGGGUCAAUGGAUGCAAGUCUGAACCAGCCAUGCCGCGUGCAGGAAGAAGGCCCUUUCUGGGGUUGUAAACUGCUUUUGCCAGGGGAUAAAAUUUCCAUGCGUGGAAAACUGAAGGUACCUGGUGAAUAAGCCACGGCUAACUACGUGCCAGCAGCCGCGGUAAU